ensembl:rRNA 5S_rRNA 5S ribosomal RNA
GUCUACGGCCAUACCACCCUGAAUGCCCCCGAUCUUCUCUGAUCUCAGAAGCUAAGCAGGGUUGGGCCUGGUUAGUACUUGGUAUGGGAGAAAGCAUUAGACAUCAAUCUUGUAAGAAUUUAAAGUUCAAUAGAUU